CCUCAUAUUACCCAAAGGGUCUCCACUCAAUUUGGUAUAUACCUCAUUAUCCUCCAGCUGUCUAUUGCAUUCCGCUACAUACUUGUUGGAAUCCAUUAUCACCCAACUACUGCCCUUAUCUGCGGGUUUGAUGACAAUUUGAUAAUUUUCUUUGAGUCCUUUAAGAGCCAUCCUUUCUUCAAAGGUAAAAUUGAAAUUAUUUUUAUUUAUAUUUAUUUUCUUAAAAUCGUUAAGAACUGCUUUCUCAAAGGCUUCUAUACUACCUUGUCUCGGGUGGCUAGGAUGAAAAUUAAAUCUAUUCUGAAGGGAUUUA